rnacentral:rRNA from 1 species
UACGUAGGGGGCGAGCGUUGUCCGGAAUUACUGGGCGUAAAGCGCACGCAGGCGGUUCGCCAAGUUUGGAGUGACAGUUGUCGGCUCAACCGACAAAGGACUUCAAAAACUGGUGAACUUGAGGACGAGAGAGGAACAUGGAACUCCAGGUGUAGUAGUGAAAUGCGUAGAUAUCUGGAAGAACACCAAUGGCGAAGGCAAUGUUCUGGCUCGUUUCUGACGCUCAGGUGCGAAAGCCAGGGGAGCGAACGGG